CACAACAUUAGGCAGGACUGACUUCUUCUAGCUGAAUACUUUAUGUACAAGCAUAUAAUGAUUUUCUAGCCCAAAGUGGGUUUAAUUACUGCAUUUCUUUUAUUUUUAGAGAAAACCAGCUUCAGUUAGAAAGGGAGCUUCUAAUCCUUGCUGUUAUCCCAGGACUCUGAGAAACAGGAUGCUUGUCAGAAAGGCAAGAGCUGUGAAUGAGAGAGAAAAGGACAUGAACUUGCUUCUCAUGUGCUAGGAAAAAAGUCUUGAAACCAUGUCAAAGCAGAGAUGGAAGAACACAAAAAAGAGGUUUGUGGAGCCCAGCAACCUCUGUGAUACACUCAGUACUAUCCACAGUUCCCUACCAACAUUUUUAGAGGAAGGACCAUCUGGUAGUCAGCUGCCCAAAUGCACAUUGCUGCCUCCUGCACCCAUUCAGUGUUGUUCAGUCUCUCCCUAACACAGCGGCAGCUACAGACACCUCUUUGAGAUUUCUGUUCUUAAAGAGGAAUAAAUCCCAGUGUUUCUUCAAAAUGGAGAUGACAACAGGACCAGAAGGUAACCACGUGGCUCUCUGAGCCUUUUACUGAAAUCUCUCUGCCAUUUCAGAGAUGGUUUUGAUGCCUGCAGUCAUUCACAGGUGAGCCUACAAUGUACCUACCAGUCAGAUGUGUACUACUUCAGCAUGGUAUUUCUCUGUGCAAACUAAGACUUGAAACCAUAAAAGCUUGUUUUGGGACUGUCCUGACAUACCAGAAUGUCCUGACUGGACAGACUGAACAUGUGCUCUGAAAAAAGCUAAAUAACAUAACCUGACAGCUAAGCGACCUUCAUGGAGGACACCUUGAAAUGAGUUUGGCUUUCUGUUUAAAACUUCCAGGGAGACUGAUGCUACUUCUUUGAGGCAUCUCUGUCUCCCUCUUUGCAUCUUUGACUUCCCACAAAAGCUAGAUUUUGACAGAAUAAUGAACUUAAAUUUGAUCAAAUGCAACUGGGGAAGUUCCAGUUAUCUUUCUUGACUGUAGAUAAGAUCUUUACAUACAAAAACCCCCCAUAUUGUUAAAAUAUUUCCUUCAAAGAAAGGAAGCAGAAGGAGAAACACCUCCAGUUAUGAUGUGCUCUGUUACUACUACAGAGAAACUAAGGGUACAACUUAUAAAAAAAAAGCAUUGCAAGGAUGGCAAAAACUAAAAGUGAAAUUAAAUAAUAUGUAAUUUAAUAAUAAGAGAGCUGCAGCUGUUGUUAUCAGGCUUAAAAAAAAAGCAGGGAGAAUGAAACAAUAUGCCUGCCAGACCAAACAGCUACUGCAGUCCUGCCAUCUAGGAAAAAAAUCUGUCUAAAGAUCACACAUACAUACUCCACGGGUGUGUAUGUGAAAGUGAAAGCCCAGGGGUAAAAUGUAAACUAAAAGCCGGAUAUUCCCUGAGCUAAGCAACACUUGUUUGUCUUUUAAGACAUGUUGAAAUUUUCCCCAGCUUUCAAAUGGUAGCUGAAAACACACCAUCGUUUGUUCUUCAGUCUCUCACAAGGAAGUCACACAGACUAAAGGUUUGCUGAGCAAAUGUAUGACUUUUUCCUAGUCUGUCAGUUUUAUUUGAUAUUAGAUCCUUCUCAGCAGCACAUCACAUAAGACUGCUUAGUUGUUGGGCUGACACACUUCACCUUUAUUAGGUAAAAAAUCCCAACUAAUUUGUAGGUUUGAGAUACUUGUCACCUGAGUAUAAGUUUAUUCAGUGUUACCCUCCUGGCUGUAUCAUGCUGUAGGCAUUUCCUUAGGAGGUGGAUAGGCAGAAGGAAUUUAAAGAACUAGCUUCAGCCUUUUUCCUCUCAUUUUAGGACAAUGUAACUCCCUUUUACAAGGGAGAGCUGGCCCUGGACAGCCCCUUCCCUGCCACCAGUGUUUGGGAAGGGUGCAGGCAGCAAAAGCACUGCAGGUCCUGUUGCCUCGCUGCAGCCCUUCCCCUCUGAGGAAGUGAGUAGUUCACACUCAAGUUCAGGGACACCCUGGCAUGCCUCGUCACCACCAGGUGUUAACACUUAAUGCACCUCCCUUAGGUCAGCUGUUUAGGCAGCCUUUAAAGUCAGUGGGGAGGAUGCCCUUAAAACACCCCCAUCCACCAUCUGUAAUGACAAACUCUCCCCAGACUGAGACAAGAAUACCUUUUAGAGGCAUCUCCCUGCACUACAACUAGGAGGGAAGCACAGAUGGCUACAUAAGUCACUGACGUUUAAAACAAUCCCUUAGGAGAGUGUAAGUUACAGUUCAAUAUCUGGCUUCUAGAACUUACCUGACCACUAUUGCAUAGCUUACCUGACUUUUGUCAGGGGUUAACAUUUGAGAAUUACAGCUGUGUUUUGAUGGUCCAUGUAUGUCAGCUUAGAUAUAAAUUAAUGUAUUAAGUAAGGACCUUAAAGAGCUUCUUUGAACACUCUCACCUUAAAAAUAGCAACAUUAAAAUAUGUGAUUUUUUUGUACAGGCACAAAGCUGUAGCUGACUGGGAGAUUUAAUGCCUGGAGAAUGCAUGUCAAAGACUUUGCUGCUGUAAGCUUGAAUUGGCACUUCUGAUGUUAUUUGAGGGGAAAAAAAAUCCAUUCUUACAGCAAAAAAAAAAAAAAAAAAAAAGCCGAAUAUUUCUGAAGAAAAUACAAAUGGUCAGUCAUUCUGCAGCUUGGUUUCCAAAGAGAGGCCAAUAUCUGCACUGCCCUCAUGUUGCGACAUGGACGGACAGUAAAAUGCCACAACCUUCCUGAAGCAUCUCUGAGAGGAGGAUGCUCCACCAGGCACACAGCAAACACCACUCACACGCAGCAGCUGACUAUCUAAGUGAUGGAGGCAGAGGAAGGGUUUUUGUAUGGAUGUCCACUGGCAGUUUAUUUCCCCUGAAAUAAGGGGUCCAGAGAUAAAAAACAGGUACCCAGUGCAGGCUUAUAUAAGGGAACAAGGGGGGGGGGGGGGCCAACAGCAACAGCCAAUCAACAGAAGGGGUAGGUGGGAGAGUAAUUACAGAGACCAAUAGGAGAGCAACUGUAGUAGACAAACAGGGGUACAAGGCAAUGAGAGCACAUGAAACAGAGACGCUGCUAGAAACUGACCAUAUAUGGUAAACUGGGGGUAUAAUGGCCAACAGGGUGUGUGGCACUGGGGUUGGUUGACAGUAUGUCAGUUAAAAUGGGGGUCCUGGGAGAGGUUAGAGUCUAGGGGACAUUCUUCCAAGGCACAACCCCAGGAUAUCCCCUGGCAGGCCCACAGGCCUCCACACCCCUGCACUUCAAAAGUCAGUAACUCCAAUAUAUUCUGAAAAGUUGUCAAGGAAAGACAUUAGGAGAAUUAAACUCUUGAAAGCUCUGUGGAAAUCAGUGGCUGGGAAAGAGGUCCAAAUAAUUCCUCUCAGGGGGAAAAUAUGGGCAGAAAGAUGCCCUGUCUCUGGCCUAGUGGAGUCACGUCAAAUAACACAGGAUCAUUAAGAGAAAGAUGCUCGAUCUGCAGGGGGUUUAAGACAUUCACAGGAAACAGGACUUCAUUAGUUCCACCCCUCAGAGCAUUCAUUUUAAAGAGAGCUCUUUUCUCAGGAUUUGCCAUUUUGUAACUAAGGUUCAAUUUCUACUGGGACACCCUUUCUGCAACAAAAGUGUUUUAGAAGAUUACACAUGACUACACCUAAAUAAACAGCAGUUUUGAAGCUGGAAGAGAGAGCACAGCCAUACUGACAUUAGAAUGUAGCCUGCACAUCUCAGCUGGUCUGGUAUGAAAUAUUGACCACCAGCUAAGCAAAGGUAUUUUAUACUGCAUUUUACAAAAACAAGAAAGUGACCACAAAUGUGCAUGGUUUUGAUCUCCAUCACCACAUGGAAACACAGUUCAAAACAUUUCCUUAUGCUCUGAUAUACUUGAUACUAUGUAAUUACUCGUGAACAAUUGCAAAAAACACAGAACUACCAAAACUGCUUCUCUUAUAAAUGAAUGCAGUUUUCCUCCUUUUCCUGACAUUUCAGAACAAGACCGUGUGGUGCUUUUUCAGUAAGAAUACCAAAAUAAGGCUCAUAAAAAGACAUUUAAUUUAUCUGUCUGGAAUUUGUCAUAAUUUAUUGCAGUCAAUUGAAAAAGUACUAAAGAACUAUAAUAACAUUCUAUGGUGCUUUGCAAACAUAUGCUACCAUCACAGGCAAUUUUGCUGUGAUUCUAUUAUGUAUCCUGUGUUUCAACUUAAUAAAAUCAACACUGAAAUACAUACUUUCCAAACAAGGCAAUAUAUAGAAAUAUAUAUAUUCUUUAACUGUAAAUUGAAACGUCUUGUAUUUUGAAAUAAAGUAAUUAGGGUGCAAUUCCUUCAAACAAUAAGGCUUCAUAAUUUUAAUAAUGUAUCAAAUGCAUCUAUGCCAAAUAGCAGAAAUUUAAAAGACAAAACUUAUUACAGAAACACAACAUACAUUGUUGUAUGUAUAGAUUUUUAGUAAAGAAAAUGAAAUACAGCAGCAAGCAUCUUGCAGUACCACUAGAAUUUGCUUACACACACAGAACAAUUUUCCUUUGUCUCCCAGAAAGUUAACAGAAGAAGUUAGGAUACAACCCCUGCUGUUCUUCACUGUUUAUACUAACAAAAAGAGCUACAGAAAAUAUUCAAUCAGUAUUUAUGAUAAAACCCUAUCUGUUGCUGAUCUAAUAGCUAACGCCUCAGGCUAUUUUCUUACUCUAACGCUAAAUUCCAGUGAAUUGCUAAUAGUAAUUAUCUGGGAAGAGCAGGAAGACAGCUCAAAAAAAGUGCUGAAGUGCUGCUUUCCUAACUGCAGGCUCUGCAAGAAAACAAAGAGAAAUUAUCAUUUAUACCCUACAGUAUCAUUGUAUCAUUUGUUACAUUCAAUCCCUGAUCACUUUUGACAGGUACCAUAGGAUUUUGUGCUUAAGGCUCCUCUUUUUGGUAAAUGCCAGAUUGCCAGACAACGUAAGAGGGACCCUUGGCAUUCACUCUUUGGCUCUUACAUAUAAUUUUAUGUUCAGUUCCCUAUGUCUUACUGACACAUUCCAUAAACAAGUUAAGCAACCACUUGGUUACUGGCACCAGCCUGGGAGAUGGUAAAAAACACCUCGAAAUUGCUCAAGAUUGAAGUGGUAUCCUCUAUCUCUCAUGCACCAAUUCCUUUUCAGCUAUUUAUAACACAGGUUAACAACUGCCUUUUUAUUUUAGGAAAAAUUUCUUCAACUAAAGGGCUGUCAAGCUUAAAACAGACUGCCCAGGGAAGUGGUUGAGUCACCAUCCCUGGAGGAAUUUAAAAGAUGUGUAGAUGUGGCACUCAGGAACAUGAUUUAGUGGCAGACUUGGCAGUGCUGGGUUAAUGGUUGGACUUGAUGAUCUCAAAGGUCUAUUUCAACCAAAAUUAUUCUGUGACUCUCUUUUUUGAAGGAAAGCAAAAUCCCUGCCCUUAUGAGACACUCUGUCUUACUGUUAGAGAUGCUAGCACUGUCAGAAUUAUCUUCCAAAUCCAGGUACUUCAUGGAUACUGGCAUGAAGUGUCUAGGACCUGCCUGAGCUCUGACAGGAAGGACUGCCUGCCUGUGGCUCUGACAGCAGCAGUCACCACCUGCAUGAACGAAGACAAGCAAGGGCCUGGACAGUACUUGGGUCAACCCUUAAUCACAAAGCUGAGGGAGACCGAAGAUAAGCAACUGAAAUGUGAGGAAAAUUAUGGAAAAGUGACACCAGUUCCUCACACACUAAAUCAAAACAGCAUAAUUCUGCAUCCAGGGAGAAAUGCACCUGCAGUCGAUGCUGAGGAAAGCAAUUAGAUUUGAAAAUCAGGAAUGCCAAGAAGUGCAACUAGGUAAACAUUGAUGCAAUCUGUGCUGGGAAGAGUAAACCUAGUAUAAGAUAAUGAACUAAUGCAACAAUCCAUGGAGAAGAUUUAGAAUUAAAAAAUACAAUAACUGCAGUAUUUUACUGCCUCUUCACAAAUUAAGAUGUUAAGCCUGUUAAUAACGAUGCAGAAAAGGCAGAAGCUUCCAAUUAGAAUUUCCACUUCCUAUUUGAAAAGGCAGUGUAUUGUGUGAGAAAAUAUCUUCCAGCAACUGAAAUGGCAAAACAUUACUAGAAAAUAAUUAACAAACAACAUAUAUUAAAGACAGCUGACCCAGCCUAUCUUUAGGUAACUGAAAUGUCAAUAGAUUUUGGAAAGAUCUGUCACUCUACAGAAGGAAACUAGAAUGAAUUAGAUAUACAUACAAACCAAUUUUCCAACAUCCAAGCCAUGCUGCAGAAUUUAAAGGUUAAAAAUGUAAUUACCACUAAUUAACACCUUUUAUGAGUCUUUCAUUAAUCUCAUUUUGCUUGUCAGUGAGGUAUUUGGUUGACAAACCUAUAACUGAACAGGUUCAGCAUUUUUGUAGGGAAUCAUCACAACGAGACAAACAUCCAAACUCACAACCAGAGCAAAACUGUGUCUCUAACAUACACACUGGAUACACAAACUGCCAGCUUUCAACAAGGAGCUCUCCCACUGGCUGCCCAUCAAGUGAGCUUUAGGGGAGGCUGCUCAGAUUUGUGACAACACACGUUAUUGCUCUAGUUAAACCAUGCAAAGCCAAAGCUGGGCAAAGCCCACACAGAGCCAGAGUAAUGCAAACCACACACCUUCCUCUGAUUCUGUGACUGGAGAAGAUCCAUUUAUUCAGGCUAUCCAAAAGAACUUGCACAGAAAUAGUGCAUACAUUUCAAUAAUGACAACUUACUCUCAUUAGUAAGUACUCACACAAGUGGUAGAUUUGCACUCUACUACUACUCUACUACAGCAGACUAGGCAAAUUCUUGAAUGAAGAACUAAGCUCAGUCUGACUGAAAGAUAUUUAGUUUGAUGCCAGAUAACUUAAGUUUUAAGUAUGUAAAAUGUUAGAUCACCAAAUGGCAUUUGUCCCCUUUGACCAUAAGGUUUCAGACAGUAAUGCUGUAUUUUUCCCAAGCAGAAUUUUGCCCACAUGCAAAAGGGCACCUCCACUUACCAAAGAAAAUGCAAGCACCAUGAAGAAGACAGGUGAUAAGGAAGUAUUCCAGAACACCCAGAGCACCUCUACACUACUUGCAAUCAAGAGCUGACCCUCUCCAAAAUUAAGUCUCCAUUUCCAUUGUGCUACUUACAGUCUUCAAUCAGACAAGACGGUCCUUUCCCUAUAAACAGGAAAGAACACCCAACCCACUGCAAUGGGGACAGAGGGAAGGUUCUUGAGUAAAGGGGCUUUUACCAGGGAACCUCUGUGUGAAAUCAGUGACCUACUGAUCUCCUCAGAGUUGGUUCUACUUUUGAUGGUGUCCAGGUUUGUGAAAUGCAAAGUUCUUUCAACACUUUUACAACACCCCAUAAAUCUUUAUGUUCAUGAAGAAAUACAAGCUCUCUAUAAGCUCCUGACUACUGAUUUCACACCACUAUACUUGCAUUUAUACUUGCACCGUGUAAAUAAUAUUGAAG